GGCGGACGGGUGAGAAACGCGUAGGAACGUGUCCUGAGGUGGGGGACAACCCUGGGAAACCGGGGCUAAUACCGCACGUGCCCUGCGGGGCAAAGCCGAAAGGCGCCUUGGGAGCGGCUGCGUCCGAUUAGCUAGUUGGCGGGGUAACGGCCACCAAGGCGGCGAUCGGUAGCUGGUCUGAGAGGACGACCAGCCACACUGGGACUGAGACACGGCCCAGACUCCUACGGGAGGCAGCAGUGGGGAAUAUUGGGCAAUGGGCGCAAGCCUGACCCAGCAAUUCUGCGUGGGUGAAGAAGGUCUUCGGAUCGUAAAGCCCUUUCGGCGGGGACGAUGGUGACGGUACCCGCAGAAGAAGCCCCGGCUAACUUCGUGCCAGCCGCCGCGG
rnacentral:rRNA from 1 species